UUCCGACGAGCGCAGGACGACGUCGAGAUCGAAUCCAUGGCUUCCGACGCCGACGCGUUGCAGCGCGUCAUCGAUGAGGUUGGAGCGAAUGCCUUGCGCGAACUCAAUCGCGCCCACAGNNNNNNNNNNGUGAGGAUCGAAUCAUUCGGACGCGCGAGGAUCUCAAGCGAAGGGCACGUUCAGAGGCCAUCGACCAAGCCGAACUCCGGCAAGAGGCCAAAAAUCUUCGCAACGA
rnacentral:misc_RNA from 1 species